AGCGAACGCUGGCGGCAGGCUUAACACAUGCAAGUCGAGCGGGCACUUUCGGGUGUCAGCGGCGGACGGGUGAGUAACGCGUGGGAACGUGCCCUCUGGUUCGGAAUAACUCAGGGAAACUUGAGCUAAUACCGGAUACGCCCUUUUGGGGAAAGGCUUGCUGCCGGAGGAUCGGCCCGCGUCUGAUUAGCUAGUUGGUGAGGUAACGGCUCACCAAGGCGACGAUCAGUAGCUGGUCUGAGAGGAUGAUCAGCCACACUGGGACUGAGACACGGCCCAGACUCCUACGGGAGGCAGCAGUGGGGAAUAUUGGACAAUGGGCGCAAGCCUGAUCCAGCCAUGCCGCGUGAGUGAUGAAGGCCUUAGGGUUGUAAAGCUCUUUUAUCCGGGACGAUAAUGACGGUAUCGGAGGAAUAAGCCCCGGCUAACUUCGUG
rnacentral:rRNA from 1 species